rnacentral:rRNA from 1 species
GAUGAACGCUGGCGGCGUGCUUAACACAUGCAAGUCGAACGGAAAGGCCCAAGCUUGCUUGGGUACUCGAGUGGCGAACGGGUGAGUAACACGUGGGUGAUCUGCCCUGCACUUCGGGAUAAGCCUGGGAAACUGGGUCUAAUACCGGAUAGGACGAUGGUUUGGAUGCCAUUGUGGAAAGUUUUUUCGGUGUGGGAUGAGCUCGCGGCCUAUCAGCUUGUUGGUGGGGUAAUGGCCUACCAAGGCGUCGACGGGUAGCCGGCCUGUGAGGGUGUACGGCCACAUUGGGGCAGAGAUACGGCCCAGACACCUACGGGGGGCAGAAGUGGGGAAUAUUGCACAAUGGGCGCAAGCCUGAGGCAGCGACGCCGCGUGGGGGGUGACGGCGUUCGGGUUGUAAACUCCUUUCGCUAGGGACGAAGCGUUUUUGUGACGGUACCUGGAGAAGAAGCACCGGCUAACUACGUG